UAUGAAGCAAUAAAAGAAGAAUUCAUUGCGCAUGCUCAAAACCUUAAUUUUGACUUAGAAGAGUUUGAUGCUAGCACGAAUUCGUUGGAUAAUUGCGAAUUUUUCUUCGUUGAGUUUUCGGAAGGAAAAGGGCUUUUCUAUAAAAAAGAUGCUUUUAUUCGCUUCCCUUUACAGUUUGGAAGGCAAGUGUUGGGCUCUCCACAACUUUUGAAUUGCCCUGAAAAAGUUGAUUGGAGGUUAUGCAAAUACGAACAUGACGAAGAAGAGCUA